rnacentral:sRNA from 2 species
ACCAGGGGAAAGCCGCAUUGAUAAAAAAGGAUUUGUGCAUCGGAACUCCCAAGCUGCUCUCUUUCGGAGCCCAAGAGAAGUUAUUUCCGAGAUCCUGUUUGCCUGCGCAGUGGCCAAUCAAUAAAUCCAGAGUCUCCAUCCUGUUGCACCGCCACUGUCAGACUGAAGAUCGCAAUCCCAGAUGGCAGAGAAGGGAAGGAUGAGGACAGGAAAGCGGAGGCUCGUGAUGAAUGGCUCCGCGAUUCUCGGUGUUUAGUCUCGCACGUUGUCGCAAGCAUCGCAUUAUCCAACGUUGUUUUCUUAGGCACUAUUUAUCGAUUCGAUGCGGUGUUGAUGGAUAGGAAGAGGUGAUGAUGCUUUCUACAUUUAAUUGCAAAGCCAUCGUUGGAAUCUGUGAGGCACUGGAAGGGCAAGAGGUUGCACUACAGCUAAGAAACUUAUUCUGGCAGCACAAAGGCCGGAGGCCUCCCCUCAGCCGCUCGGCGCAUCACGAAGCACAGGGUUACAUAGUAUUGAGUACACUGUGAC